CAUAUACAACUACAUGGUUGUGAGCGUAUGAUUUACGUCCAAUGCUCACGAGGAUUCGAAACGCUCCAAUGAGCCAGAUGCCGUCAACGGAUUUGUAAUGGGAACCUUUGAGGUGCGUUACUGGGCAGUCGUGAUUCUCUAAUCAUAACGAUGAUUUAGGUUGUGGGAGCACCUACAGACGCUUGAAGGCCGAGAGUGAUUUUUGAUUGCCAAACAAGUCUGCAGAACGAGUUGACACUAUGCAUCGCUGCGGUCAACCUCACAUCAACAUGCACCACGGUAGUCAAGACCUGAAGUCCAAACCAGGAACAUUGUAGCAGACCCUCAUUUCUUCAUGCUUCCACAAAUCCAAUUUUUCUCUGUGCAACGCUUCCCAUCCGGCUUUGCCGCACAUCCUCAUUGCACGUAUACUUAGACUGUAUCAGCACCUUCUGAACUCUCAUCAAUGGCCAAUUUAUUUGACGAGGAAGAGAUUCCACAACGUGGAGUUAAUCUUGCUUGUGACUUGAGCAAGGGAGGGACCCAAAUCACCCUCAACUGGCGAUCAGCACGCUGAUGCGCAGUGGCAACUUUUCAUGGUAAAAUUUUCAGAUGUGAGGGCUGACUGCAAUUUCCUACCUGCAGGAAUCAGAGGUUUACAAGCAAAACUCUCGUUGAGUGUAUGAGAUCAGAGACAGUGGUAAUCUAUUCUUCCAUCGUUCGUCUGCCCAGCUUUGUGCCAAGUGGGAGGCUUAUUUUGGACUUGCACUUAUGUGGGUACGUCGGUUUGAUCACAUUAAUGUUGCAUUCGUAGUUGGUGGUCCUGUUUAAUAUACCGUUCGGACACAGUGUGGAUCUAUUUGACUGUUUCAAUGAUCAGUUCUUAGCUUCAAAUGGAUAAUGCUUGUUCUGAUUUAAACUUCAUAGCAAGAGUGUGAUAUAUGUGCAAGGAGGGAGAAGUUACCGAGGAAAAGCACUAAUACUGAAUGAUACGUACACUGUCCAUUUUAUUAUAUCUGGCUCUUAUUUUUUUCCGCAUUCUACUAAUCUAUGGCUCAUUAUUAGAUUUCCACACUUCAUGCAUGGAUUUUCUUAGUACACUGUAACAUCUAAGGUGUAAUAUAGUUUAAAUUUAAAAAUUUGAACUUAUGUAAAAAAAAUGAAUUGAAAUGGUUUCUUCAUAAUAAUAUUUCAUACAAUUCAAGUAAAUUUUUUUGGAC
rnacentral:lncRNA from 1 species